GGCGGAGGGCCGAGAUGAGCUCGGCCUGGGUCACCGCCUUCGAGAAGCAGCACCUCUGGAUGCUCCUGCGGGCGCUGGGCCUGGAGCCCGGCUCGACCGCCAUCGCGGGCGGGAAGGUCCUGUCGUGCCAGCACCUCGGCGUAUAAAUGGUUAAAGAAAAUGUGGGCCAUGUACACUAAGCAAUUUCACAUGCCUAUUCAGAAGACUGAAGUAAUGACACCAUAAUGGGACUGACUGGACAUCAUCAUGUUAAGCAAGGGCAAACCGAGCCGCUGCUGCUGCCUCUGCUGCUGCCAUAGCUGCCAC